rnacentral:lncRNA from 1 species
CACACGCACGCACGUUCAGAAGGACAGUGGGCUGUCCGGUGUAGCAUCAUUAGCUCAGCGGAGACGUGGCGGCCCUGACACAUGUCGAGCGGCGUGCAGCCAACCCACGGACGAGCACGAGUCGCUCCUGCAUAAUUUGAAGUCAUCCAUGGCAGAGCUUUGAGGAUCCUUCCCGGCGUUCCCCAUGACUUGAACGGAGCAUCGCUCAGCGCCAUGAUGGCCCUAUUCACACUCAGGUGCCUGACAUUUAAAAUCACCAUCCACUUUCAACAGCAGCUCAGAUGUUCUGCAGAAUGUCUCCUUGUGUUCCACCAAAGAAAAAAGGUGAGUAAAUAAUGACAGGUACUAUUUUCAUCUUUGAGUGAACCAUACCUUUAAGGUUUCUGAAGAUUAAACAUGAUGUUUUUUGAGAGUUAGAAAGUCUGCAAGAAAGUAGUGUAGAUGUUGUUUGUGUAGUUUGUAUGCGGAAUAAUGUGUGAUUGUGCACAUUUUCUUACAGGUUCACACACACACACACACACACGCACCAGGAGGGAUCUGAAGCCCACGCGAUACA